UUAUGUAAAAUCAGGAUAUCUCUCGGCAAGGUUUUUAAAUCAUCAGCCACCAAAAACGCAACACAUGUGAACAUAUCGUAUAGAAAAUACUUUGCCGUGUCUUUUGAAUAAAGUUAGAUUUCCAGUCGUCCUAAAUCGCAAGCAUGCCUCACUACCUAACGCCGAUGUCAAGCAUCACCAUGCUAACGUCGUGCAGGCUCAAAGCCAGAACGCCGAGGCGGCCGCGGAAGCGGAAGGGCGGGCAGGCGCCGCCGUUUCAGGUGGCCGCGACAUCGGUCUGCGAGCCAUCUGCCUGCCAGAGCAGCCCCUCCGCACCUGAACCAGUGGGCGACGACGCUGCUCCGCCGCCAGAAGUCCGUCCAGAAGCUGACGGCCCCUCCACACCAGAUUCAGAAGGCAGCGCUGUGCCACCACCGGAGGUCCAACCAGAGCCAGAGACCACGCCGGCAACCCCUGCCGCCGAAGCAGACAGUCCAUCCGCACCGGAUCCAACAGGCGAUAAUGCUGCACCACCACCAGAUGCUCGUCCAGAACUAGACGGCCCCUCCGCACCGGAUUCAACAGACAGCGGCGUUGUGCAAACAGCAGAGGUCAGUCCAGACGCAGACAACCCCUCUGCGCCGGAUGCAACGGGCAGCGGCGAUGUGCCACCGCCAGAGGUCCCAAAGGUCCGUUCAGAAACAGAUGCCUCAAGCACCAGCUGUUCGGUCAAGGCCGAAUCAGCGCCUUUGCUGCCCUCGAAACCCGAACAGCGUGAGCCGGCAGAAAAGCCGCCUGCCAAGCGUAAGAAGUCAAGACGGAGGGAGUCGCCUCGGGAUUUCAGCAGGGAAGAACCAAAGCGAAAACGUCGCCCACGCCGCAAAAACUCGCGGCAAUGUCGAAAGACAAAGGCUGCCGGGCGGAGAGUGCCGUCCAGCAAAUGCACGUGCCGACGGAACAGCCAGAACUCCGGCUGUGAUGGAUUAAUGAAGACCACAUUCUUUCCGGCCAAGUGACAGCGCCCCUCAUGCCGUCGACACGCUGCUGCUCACCCCAAGGAAAUAACGCAGCGGUCGGGAGCCAGUCAAUGAAACAGUUUCAAUUUGGACACCUGAAUAAAUUGUUAAAAAGUC